UGGGGAAUUGUUCGCAAUGGGCGCAAGCCUGACGACGCAACGCCGCGUGGGGGAUGAAGGUCUUCGGAUUGUAAACCCCUGUCGAGCGGGACGAAUGGCUCACGAGCUAAUCAUCGUGAGAAUGACGGUACCGCUAAAGGAAGCCACGGCUAACUCUGUGCCAGCAGCCGCGGUAAUACAGAGGUGGCAAGCGUUGUUCGGAAUUACUGGGCGUAAAGGGCGCGUAGGCGGCCUCUUUAGUCAGACGUGAAAUCCCCCGGCUUAACCUGGGAACUGCGUCUGAUACUGGGAGGCUAGAGUUCGGGAGAGGGAUGUAGAAUUCCAGGUGUAGCGGUGAAAUGCGUAGAUAUCUGGAGGAAUACCGGUGGCGAAGGCGGCAUCCUGGACCGAAACUGACGCUGAGGCGCGAAAGCUAGGGGAGCAAACGG
rnacentral:rRNA from 1 species